rnacentral:rRNA from 1 species
GACGGAGGGGGCAAGCGUUGUCCGGAAUUACUGGGCGUAAAGAGCUCGUAGGCGGUCGCAUACGGCGGUGGUGAAAGCUCCUGGCUUAACUGGGAGAGGCCCGCCGCAACGGUGCGACUCGAGGAUGGUAGAGGCAGAUGGAAUUCCUGGUGUAGCGGUGAAAUGCGUAGAGAUCAGGAGGAACACCCGUGGCGAAGGCGGUCUGCUGGGCCAUAUCUGACGCUGAGGAGCGAAAGCUAGGGGAGCGAACGGGAUUAGAUACCCCGGUAGUCCUAGCCGUAAACGAUGGAUACUAGGUGUCAGCGGUAUCGACCCCGCUGGUGCCGGAGCUAACGCGUGAAGUAUCCCGCCUGGGGAGUACGGCCGCAAGGUUGAA